UGGGGAAUAUUGGACAAUGGGCGAAAGCCUGAUCCAGCCAUGCCGCGUGUGUGAAGAAGGUCUUCGGAUUGUAAAGCACUUUAAGUUGGGAGGAAGGGCAGUAAGUUAAUACCUUGCUGUUUUGACGUUACCGACAGAAUAAGCACCGGCUAACUCUGUGCCAGCAGCCGCGGUAAUACAGAGGGUGCAAGCGUUAAUCGGAAUUACUGGGCGUAAAGCGCGCGUAGGUGGUUUGUUAAGUUGGAUGUGAAAGCCCCGGGCUCAACCUGGGAACUGCAUCCAAAACUGGCAAGCUAGAGUACGGUAGAGGGUGGUGGAAUUUCCUGUGUAGCGGUGAAAUGCGUAGAUAUAGGAAGGAACGCCAGUGGCGAAGGCGACCACCUGGACUGAUACUGACACUGAGGUGCGAAAGCGUGGGGAGCAAACAGGAUUAGAUACCCCCGUAGUCCCUGAGCGGGCUGGCAAGGCGCAU
rnacentral:rRNA from 1 species